rfam:Clostridium tyrobutyricum DIVETGP, WGS project CBXI01000000 data, contig: NODE_13
UUCUUAUCGAGAGAGGCAGAGGGACUGGCCCUAUGAAGCCCGGCAACCUAAAUGUAUAUAUACAUUUAAUGGUGCUAAUUCCAGCAGGAAUAACCUGAAAGAUGAGAG